UUUUUGCUAAGAUGUAUGUGGGCAGAGAGAUAGGGGUGCUCUUGUGCUUGGUAGGGCCGGUGGGCCGCGAUCCCAAGGGAGGUGGCGGUGCGGGGUAGGGAGACGAGGGUCGUUGGGAGAGGUGGGAGAGGUGGGAGAGGGUAGGGGUCAGCAGUAGCAUCGGGGAGCGGCAGCAAGCUAUAGGUUCUGCCUCGGAGCCGGCUGUCGAGGAACCUCGUGCGGCGGGCGGCCACCUACGGGACUAAGACGCACUGGGUCGGUCUCUGAGUGGAGCGGUGGAACCGCGGAGGGCGUCCUAGAGGCGGUGGCGGAUCGCGAAGACACGCGUUCCUACGGCUGCGGAGAGGGACUAAGUUACUACUGUUGUGCGUGUGGAAAGGGACUACGAACCCGUUUCCGUACAUACAGCCUACACGACCGUUUUGAAAUAUCUACGUCUAAUGUAUGUAAUCUUUAACGGUUGAGCCACCUACUAUUUAUGAUACUGAACCCUGAGUCUUUUUUCUAGUUGUGCAUCUACGUCUAAUGUAUCUAGUCCUGAACGAUUGAGCCGCAUACUGUGUAUGAUUUGCUGUAGUUGUGCAUCCACUCUGGUAACUGAUAAUCUCCACUCAGCCGUUCGACAAAAGAAGAUACCAAACCGUACAUUGAAACACAAGAGAUCGAGAAAAAUCAAAAUAUAAAAAGAUUGUUUGUUCUGGUUGGAAUUGAAUUCUUCUUUUCGUAGUAAUAUUGGUACUUUUUUAUAGACGAAUUUACAAUCCGAAAACAAGCAGAUAAUUCAGUAAUGGGCAGAUUUGCUCUGUGUCUUUAUUACUUAAGAAUGUACCAUUCAAAAACAAAGUAAAAGUAAGAAACGGAAUAGGGCACAACCUUUUCUUCAAGUUAACAAAAAAAGGAGUGUUACAUGGUUUCUAAGACUACUUUCUACGAAUAAAAAGAGAGUCGAAGUUCUUUGUCAGUGAUAUAUGAGACAAAACAUAUAUAAUACAUCAACAUUCCUCUACAAAAUAAAAGAAAUAUACGAUGAUAAAAUUGUAGAACCUUCUCAGGACUUAAAUAACCUCUGUUGUUUCACCCGCAUGGUACACUCAAUAAACCGUGGAACUACGUCGUUUAGUUGUGUACAAACUCGAUGUUGCCUCCAGUGAAUUUAUUUAGUCUCCUUAUCUGAGCCGUUCCUUCCCUCGAUGAGGUCACAUCAGCCACCUUAACUGACCGUUUCAUUUAGUACUUCGAGGACCAACCUGGUUCUCCGACUCUUAACCCCGACGUGGAGGAUGUUGUCAGUUAAAGCAGCCACCGGACGGUUGUUGUGACCACUUCCUUGUUCCCACCGGGCUCUGGCUAUUGUCCCCCGAGAACUUGACCGUUUCGGUCUUCGGUGGUAGCGAAGUAACAGGGGCCUCUAGCAAACCACUACAGGCUACCUAUAGUGCACUGCCUCACCUCUGCGUGUGAGGGGACGGGGUUGAAACCACGGCGGUGGAUGGAUACGCCCCGUGUCAGGACGGACUGGGUCGGAUGUAGAACUAACAUUUAAAGAGAGUGGAAGAUAGAGCACAAGUACACCAGCAUAACUAAAACGGAAAACUCUUCACAACUUUCUUCUAAUACACGAAGUCUGCUGACUUACAGGUCAUUAUAGUAGUUGGAAGUCAGUCGUCGCCGAGGCUUGAGAUAGUGGAGUUUACCAAAUCGUAUCUAGUAAGUGUACACUCCUACUUUCGAACCUAGUCGAAGACAUCAGCGAUAGAAAGUAAAUGUUGGCUCAAAAGAAUACCAAUAUCCUAUCUUUGAAACAUAAUAAAAAGGUAGAAGAAAGGAAGCACUUUGAUCGACGUCGUUCAUCGUUAAAUUUAACUACGCUCUUUCAUAGAUAGAAAUUACAGG
rnacentral:rRNA from 1 species